GGGCAGGAUAGGUGAAGUGGUCCCCCCGACAAGUCGGCGGUUACCACUUCACUUCCCUUAUUCGCGCCAGGGCGCUCAACGGUAAUCCUGCCCUGCGGGGCC
rnacentral:ncRNA from 1 species